AAGAGAUUAAGAAAAAAAUAGCUUCUAACUAAUUUUUCAAGCGGUUAAAUUCCGUUUAUCUCUUA
rnacentral:tRNA from 1 species